rnacentral:sRNA from 1 species
GCCAGGUGCAGUGGCUCACACCUAUAAUCCCAGCUAUUCAGGAGGCUGAGGCAGGAGGAUCACAAUUUUGAGGCCAACCUGAACAACUUAAUGAGACCCUGUCUCAA